rnacentral:rRNA from 1 species
AGAGUUUGAUCAUGGCUCAGAAUCAACGCUGGCGGCGCGCCUAACACAUGCAAGUCGAACGAGAAAGUGGAGCAAUCCAUGAGUACAGUGGCGUACGGGUGAGUAACACGUGGGUGAUCUACCUUUUAGUGAGGAAUAACCGAGGGAAACUUUGGCUAAUACCGCAUAAGCCCGAGAGGGGAAAGCAGAAAUGCGCUGAAAGAGGAGCCCGCGGCCGAUUAGCUAGUUGGUAGGGUAAGAGCCUACCAAGGCAGAGAUCGGUAGCCGGCCUGAGAGGGCACACGGCCACACUGGCACUGAAACACGGGCCAGACUCCUACGGGAGGCAGCAGUGGGGAAUCUUGCACAAUGGGGGAAACCCUGAUGCAGCGACGCCGCGUGAGCGAUGAAGCCCUUCGGGGUGUAAAGCUCUUUCGUCAGGGAAGAUAGUGACGGUACCUGGAGAAGCAGCUGCGGCUAACUACGUGCCAGCAGCCGCGGUAAUACGUAGGCAGCAAGCGUUGUUCGGAGUUACUGGGCGUAAAGGGUGUGUAGGCGGUUCUUUAAGUUUGCUGUGAAAUCUCCCGGCUUAACCGGGAGGGUGCGGUGAAUACUGAGGGACUAGAGUACGGGAGAGGAAAGUGGAAUUCCUGGUGUAGCGGUGAAAUGCGUAGAUAUCAGGAGGAACACCGGUGGUGUAGACGGCUUUCUGGACCGUAACUGACGCUGAGACACGAAAGCGUGGGUAGCAAACAGGAUUAGAUACCCUAGUAGUCC